ensembl:snoRNA small nucleolar RNA U3
AAGACUAUACUUUCAGGGAUCAUUUCUAUAGUUGUGGACUGGAGAAAUGAGACUCUAAAGUGAUUGGUCGCGUCAACCGCGAGGAUGAGAUACGGUGUCCUUUUCUGAGCGUGAAAUGGGUGGAGGAUUAUGGGAGUUUUCCUAUAGUCUUUCAUCAUUGAUGAUCGUUCUUGAUCUUUUUUGGAAGGUUAAGAGGUGAAGGACACGUUCUGAGUGGUU